AAUUUGAAUGAGCACAAUCCAAACCCCUUAGCGAGAACCCAUUGGAGGGAAAGUCUGGUGCCAGCAGCCGCGGUAAUUCCAGCUCCAAUAGCGUAUAUUAAAGUUGUUGCAGUUAAAAAGCUCGUAGUUGGAGGUGUGAGGGAGACGAGAAAGCGUGUCUACAUUUAUGGAGAUGCGUGUGCUCCUCUGUUGUGGCGUGCGCUCGCAAGAGGGUGCGUCUUUAGGCCUGAUGAUUGGGCAGGGUGCUUUUCACUAAGUGCUGUGUCUGAGUCGGGGUGUUUACUUUGAAAAAAUUAGAGUGUUCAAAGCAGGCUUCAUUGUUGCUUGGAUAGAUUAGCAUGGGAUAAUGGAAAACGAUUUUGGUCGCGUUUUGUUGGAAAAGGUUUGGUGGCCGAAGUAAUGAUUAAUAGGGAUAGUUGGGGGCAUUCGUAUUUAAUUGUCAGAGGUGAAAUUCUUGGAUUUAUGAAGGACGAACUACUGCGAAAGCAUUUGUCAAGGAUGUUUUCAUUAAUCAAGAACGAAAGUUAGGGGAUCGAAGACGAUCAGAUACCGUCGUAGUCUUAACCAUAAACUAUGCCGACUAGGGACCGGUGGGAGUGUGAGGGGGGUGGCAACAUCCGUUUCAUAUGUCUGAAGCAAUGAGGACACCGUCGGGACCUCGAGAGAAAUCGAUAAGUUUCUGGGUUCUGGGGGGAGUAUGGUCGCAAGGCUGGAACUUAAAGUAAUUGACGGAAGGGCACACAAGGAGUGGAGCCUGCGGCUUAAUUUGACCCAACACGGGGAACCUCACCAGGUCCGGACAUGGCGAGGAUUGACAGCUUGAGAGCGCUUUCUUGAUUCUAUGGGUGGUGGUGCAUGGCCGUUCUUAGUUGGUGGAGUGAUUUGUCUGGUUAAUUCCGUCAACGAACGAGACCCUAACCUGCUAAAUAGGUGACGCGGUGGGCAACCAGCGCGGGUCGACUUCUUAGAGGGACACUCGGCGACUAGCCGAUGGAAGUUUAGGUCAAUAACAGGUCUGUGAUGCCCUUAGAUGUUCUGGGCCGCACGCGUGCUACACUGGUCAGGCCAAUGAGUGUUGUGGGGUGUCUCCUGUUACAGGGAGGUGCCUGGACCUGCGCCGAAAGGUGUGGGCAAUCUUGUGAAACCUGAUCGUGAUAGGGAUAGAUCUUUGCAAUUAUCGAUCUUGAACGAGGAAUUCCUAGUAAGCGCGGUUCAUCAUAUCGCGUUGAUUACGUCCCUGCCCUUUGUACACACCGCCCGUCGCUACUACCGAUUGAAUGGUUUAGUGAGGUCUCGGGACUGGGCGUGGAGCUGGCGCAAGCCGGCCCUGCGCCGGGAAACUUGAACAAACUUGAUCAUUUAGAGGAAGUAAAAGUC
rnacentral:rRNA from 1 species